CCCAGACUCUGCUGUCAAAAGCAUGAGAUGACUGUGGCUUGGUGAGCUGGGGGAAUGAAGCCUGGCUGCUGCUUCCUGAAGAUCUCAGCCACUGGAGGGGGUCAGAGCACCUUGCUGCACAGGGAAAGCCCUUGCAGCUCUGACACAGAAGAGCGGCACCGAGCCUUGGUCUGUUCCUGCCCUUUUUCCCACUCCAGUUCCAGGCUGGGUGUUGGAGGCUGGAGUCCCAUGUGCUAUCACACUGGAAACACUGUGUCCUCUGAGCACCACCUCACAAAGCCGCCUGCUGCUGACCAUUACUCCCAUUCCUGAUGAAGUGAAAGGAUGCAGGGAUGAAGUCACUCUUACUCAGCCUUGUGAUCUCAUUUCAGUGAGCAUUCAGGACUGUUUGCUCGAAGCCUUACUGGUGCUGAACGGGAUUGCACAAUUCAGGCUUCAGGAGCUGCCGUGUGGGUGUGUGCGUACUCUCUGCACAGGAAGGAGCACAGAGAGUUCCUUGUAGUAGCCUUUGUUUCAAGGCUCUGGAGAACAUCUUAAAAGCCUGUCCCUCUCCUAUGUCAUCUGCAACUUCCUUUGCACUGGAACACACGCACUGAGUGGGAGAGGUAAUGACAGUGGAGAGAAAGUACUCACAAUAUAAACAUACUUUCACCUUGCGCAGAUAGCAGAAGGGAGCCCAACAAAUGGCCCUGCCAGGAAAGGAAUCUCCUUCCAACUUGGUGUGUCUGCUAGGGGAAGACUGGGAACACUGUGUUUUCUGCAGGGCCAUCUGAUGCUGUCUGCGAUGCUGCACUUGUUUACUGCAGCGUGUUGUGGCUCUGGGAAUUGCAGCACAGAAAUGUCCAAAAGGUUUUAUACUUGGCUUAUUUCUCAGAAAGCUGUGACUUGGAAAACUCAGGCCGGCCUAACUUUUCUUCCAAGUAUUCAAACAAUAUGCUUGGUAAUGUCAUUCUGCAGACAGUUUUGAUUUCUGAUUUUUCCAAUUAAUUUUGGGAGAAAACAGAGGUCCUGGAAUUUCCCACAAAGCAGAAUUUCUGUUGUUCCACCAGCUUGACUCAGCAAGAAUUUCUCCCACAGGAAUUUGGCCGUAAGUACUGAUACCAGCUAGGCAGUUUGAAUCUCUCUAGAUGGUGAAAGCUAGAGAAAAGUAUCUCAUAAAUCAUCAUGUCAUUGCUGUUUCAUACUCAAGAGGGGAGAAGAUCAUCUCACCUUCCUUUCUGUUCUCCUAUGCAUGUUUCCUGGGAACAACCUAAGCAGGUGGGUGUUGAAGAUCUGCAGAGGAUGUGAACGGCUCGGUUUUUACAACGCAGUUUCUUGGUUGUAGUUACAGAGAGAACUCAGCUUUUUUUUUAUUACAUGUGAAUAACUAGCCUUCAGAAAUCGUAUUUUUUCACGUCUAAUUUGUGCUUCUGAAUUCAAGGAUGGUGCGGAGAGAGUGGGGAUAAGAGGCAGGGAAAUGCUUCAGUGCCAAUGCAGCAGAUGUGGCAGAAUGGCUGGCAUGAGUGGCCUUGUCCUGAGCUCCCACUGAGAACCAGGAGAACAGCUGGGCACGAUCUGGUCUGUCCUCACCCGGAUGGGAUGAAAGGAACACCUUGGAGGUGUUCAAGAGCUGUGUGGAUGUGGCACUGAGGAACAUGGGUUAGUGGGCAUGGUGGGGGUGGGUUGGUGGUUGGAUAAGAUGAUCUUAGAGACCUUUUCCAACCUUAAUUAAUGACUCUGUGAUUCUGUGACUGGAGUAAUAGAGAUUUUACCAUAAUUUUGUCUUUGUGAAGCUCUAUAGUGGAAAUGUUAAGUGAUGGCUUGAACCAGUGAUUGAGCACCUGGUGGGAAGACAGGGCCAACCCAGGGGAGCUCAGGUGCAUGUAGUGUAGCUGAGUGACCAGAAGGGGUGGAGCCAGGAUCCCCUUCCCAGACCUCAUUUAAGGGUUGGCAGUAGAGGCAAAGGUAUCUUGCUGAAGAUCCCUGCCUACCUGUGAGGUCUUCCAAGGGUAAGCAGCUUCUUUCCCUUAUUUCUGUGCCCACAGCUGUUGUAUUUCUGCAAAUCCUCACUUGCUGCAGCCUGGGACCUUGCUCUACUGUCAUUGCUGUGCUAUCCAUCGCGUUACAAGCUCCCACUCUCAAAAUUGUAUUGGAAAAAAAAUCAGCCAGUUAAUGUCUAGACCUCAUUUUCACUGGAAAACAAAAAUCCUGGGGUUUCUCCUGGCACUUCUAGCAGAGAUUUGCUGAAACCAAGCGCAACUCUUGAACAGCGGAAGUCUGUGGCCUAGGGGUGGCAGGAGGUCAGACGAGAUGUUCUGGCUGGCCCUCGAUGGCAUGAGGAGACUGCAAACCUCAGAUAAAACUAUGUUACCCUGAGUCAAGUUCAAAGUCUAUGAAUCAAGAAUUCAAGCCUGAGCCUAAGUCAGUGGAUAGGAACAAAUUUGUGGUAUUUGAUGACAAUGCAAGAUGUUACUAGGAAGUUUCCCCGCGAAUGCAUAGCAAAAGCCAAACAACUGACUGUGUUCGUGGCCAAAACAUUUAUUUUCUUUAUGGAGUGAAAACAGAACCUGAAGUGCAGUAAGCAGCUUCUGAAUGUGCCUUCAUCUCUGGGCCAGUGCAGGAGGUCUGACACUUUUAAAAGCCUUCUGGAAACUUGGACUUUGAUUGCUGCUGCCAGAAUAGCUGCUGCCUCUUCUGUGGUUCCAUCAGGGAUGUACCUCCUGAAUGUGUGCUUGGGCCUGAGCCUGCACUCAUGACCAACCUUGUCUGGUGCUCAUCUGGUUUUCCUCCUACAGUGAUGUGGUUUCAUUGAUUCAGGGCAUGCUGCGUGUGGCCACGCGUGUGCUGACCUGCAACUGCUCUGCACCUGGGAGUGGGGAUGGGAGCACAGGGAUAGAGCAAGGCUUGGGCUUUGCAGGGCUUCAGGUCACUUCUUGGUCAGGCUUUCCUACAGCACUGUGUGGAUGCAGCCACGUAAAAUCUGAUGUGCUUCAGGAAUUAACAAAUACAUUUUUAAUGAUGUAAGAUUGCAGUGCCUGAAAACAGCAUGGCGUAGUGCCUGAAAAUAAUAAAUUUUAAAG